GAAGGAAAACUCCUGAAUUACGAUCCUUUCACACAAGAGCUAGAAGUGGAAAUUCUUUCACGUCAGACAAAAGAGAAGGAACCUGGGAAAUUUGACCUUGUGUAUCAGACCGAGGAUGGAACAGACAUUGUAGAAUAUACAGUAACUCAGGAAAGUAAGAUCACAGAGAAGUGGAGCUUGUUGAUUGAGCCGAGACUUAUUGUGGAAUAUUCACCCGAAGGGCCUGGAUCACAGGCAGCUAACAUUGACCCCUGAUUACUUUCCUAUUAUUAAUCUGUUUUGGGGAUUGUGACAAUACGUCUCGGGCAUGUUUUCUUAUCGAACUGUUGAAGUUUUGUCCUCUAAUGGGAUCAGUGGCACUGAUCUGGGUGGUGGCUUGAUC